GAUGAACGCUGGCGGCGUGCCUAACACAUGCAAGUCGAACGAACCUAAUCUUCGGAAAGGGUUAGUGGCGCACGGGUGAGUAACACGUAGGUGACCUGCCCUGGAGUGGGGGAUAACUUCUCGAAAGAGAGGCUAAUACCGCAUAUGCUCGGCCAUUCAGUUGGUCGAGUAAAGCUCCGGCGCUCCAGGAGGGGCCUGCGUCCGAUUAGCUAGUUGGUGGGGUAAUGGCUCACCAAGGCUAUGAUCGGUAGCUGGUCUGAGAGGACGAUCAGCCACACUGGCACUGACACACGGGCCAGACUCCUACGGGAGGCAGCAGUGAGGAAUAUUGGUCAAUGGGCGAAAGCCUGAACCAGCAACGCCGCGUGAGGGAUGAAGGCCUUCGGGUCGGUAAACCUACUUUUCUGGAGAAGAGACAAGGACGGUAUCCCAGGAAUAAAGUCUCGGCUAACUACGUAGCCAGCAGCCGCGGUAAU
rnacentral:rRNA from 1 species